rnacentral:rRNA from 1 species
UGAUUCAUGGCUCAGGAUGAACGCUAGCGGCAGGCUUAACACAUGCAAGUCGAGGGGUAACAGGUAGCUUGCUAUGCUGACGACCGGCGCACGGGUGAGUAACGCGUAUACAAUCUGCCUUGUACUGAGGGAUAGCCCAGAGAAAUUUGGAUUAAUACCUCAUAGUAUAUAGCCUCCACCUGGAGAUUAUAUUAAAGGUUACGGUACAAGAUGAGUAUGCGUUCUAUUAGCUAGAUGGUAAGGUAACGGCUUACCAUGGCAACGAUAGAUAGGGGCCCUGAGAGGGGGAUCCCCCACACUGGUACUGAGACACGGACCAGACUCCUACGGGAGGCAGCAGUGAGGAAUAUUGGACAAUGGGCGAGAGCCUGAUCCAGCCAUGCCGCGUGCAGGAUGACUGCCCUAUGGGUUGUAAACUGCUUUUAUACAGGAAGAAACACUCCCUCGUGAGGGAGCUUGACGGUACUGUAAGAAUAAGGAUCGGCUAACUCCGUGCCAGCAGCCGCGGUAAUACGGAGGAUCCAAGCGUUAUCCGGAAUCAUUGGGUUUAAAGGGUCCGUAGGUGGAUAAUUAAGUCAGAGGUGAAAUCCUGCAGCUCAACUGUAGAAUUGCCUUUGAUACUGGUUAUCUUGAGUUAUUAUGAAGUAGUUAGAAUAUGUGGUGUAGCGGUGAAAUGCAUAGAUAUCACAUAGAAUACCAAUUGCGAAGGCAGAUUACUAAUAAUUAACUGACACUGAUGGACGAAAGCGUGGGGAGCGAACAGGAUUAGAUACCCUGGUAGUCCACGCCGUAAACGAUGGUUACUAGUUGUUCGAACUUCGGUUUGAGUGACUAAGCGAAAGUGAUAAGUAACCC